UUUAGUUAGUUUGGGAAGGGGUUCUCUGGUUAAAUGUUAAUAAAAAUAAAUCAAAACCCAAAAUUAUAAGGAGAACCGGCUCUCUGUCGUCUCUCUCGACGUUUUACCAAAUCGAAGACCCAAUUCUAUCUGUUUUGUCCCCAAUCCAAUCUCCCACCAAACCAUCGCUUCGUUCUCUAGAAUUUCAAUUGGGUUCUUCUUCCACCGCCGAUCCAAUUAUCCCACCGCCGACUGAAAUCGUCAUCGUUAUCAGUGGUCCGAGCGGAGUUUGCAUAGACGCAGUGAUCAACAAGCUUCGUCAAGUUCGUGAAGAGCUAAAGACGAGCGUUGUUGAUGUUGAGUUGAUUCUGGAAUGCAAUUACAACGUUUGAGUGGCUCACAAUGCUUGACAUUGCAAAGGCUUAUCUAAGAGAUGGUUCUAAGGGAAAGGCGAGAGAGAUGCUUCGUAAAACAGAUGAAUUGAAUGAUCCAAAGUCUUACGAGAGACUCAUAAAGCUAUAUGGUGAAGCAGGGAGAGAGAUGAUGUUUACCAUAUAUGGGACUUGUACAAGAACACAAAAGAGAAGAACCAUGUAUUGUUUUGCAAAAUUUGAAUUUUUUUCUAAA